GCGCAGGAGGCGGCGCACGCACGGGACUGGGGAGGUCGCUGGCCACUGCCACCUGGGCGAGGAAGCUUCACUCGGAGGCAGAAGCUGCCCUAAAGUGACCCCCAGAGGGUGUCAACGCCGAGAACAAAAAUUUCAGGCCAGAACCCCGAGACCUACGAAAAGCGAAAAGCGACGCGGAGGAGGGAAAAAAUGAAAAAGGCAGACCAAAUCGUCUCCCUAGAACCGCAGGGAAACUUACCUCCAGGUCGGCGACCGGCUGCUGGGUGGAAUGAAUCAGUCCACGGAUGGAGACGAGGCGGUGGGUCCUCCAAGCCCAGCGGAUACACCAAGUAAUCCACGUUAGGAGGUCCGGCGCCCCCGUCCCUUUCCCCGCCGUCGGUCCAAGACCCACGCGCCGCCAGCGCCCGCCUCUGCGCCGCGGACCCGAGGGAGGGGCAGGAGCGCGGGCGGGGGUCCCGGGCGGCAGCGCAGUCCCCGGGGUGGGCGCGCACCCCGACAGCCCGCAGCUGUUCGCCUUUCUUCGCUGCACAUCACCGCCACGAGCCCACACUCUGCUCCGGGAAAACCCUCUACUACCUCCAGGAAAGCACGGAAGGCAAAUCCUCUGUUCACCUGGGGUCUGUAGAUCCGUGGGGCCCACAUGGGGUAGGGUGGACACCCGCAGGGAAGAAGAGUUCCCGGGGAGAAGAGCGGAGCAGCAGAUGCCAGCUGCGGUGGCCGUAACUCCACUCCAGAGCCCCUGCCGCCUCCGCGCUCUACCCGCGUCAGGGCCAUGCCGCCUCUUUAUACCCGGCGGAGCCCGGGGAGGGGGGGGGGAGGCCGAACGGCUUCCUGGGAGUUGUAGUUCUGCCUUCCUAGAACCAAAGAGCGCUGAGCGAGGAUUGAUGUCUGGGGUUUAUGAACAACAGCGUCAUCGCUUCCCGCGAUGGGAUUCCAGUCCCACCAUCAACUCUGUUAGGUCUCAUGUGGCCUUUGUGCAGCGGGAAGGUCACACCAACCCCCUACCUGCAGCCCAGGACGACACACCCGGGUGUUACCUUCGAGGAGGAGUAGCCUGCCGUGUGUCUGGAUUCUUCACACGGAGAGGGCAGGUACUUUGUCCUUCAUUCCACGUCUGCCACCAAACGCCUGCAGACGCUGGAGCUGUGGCCGGUGUCCUCCCUGCAGCAGCAUAGGGUCAAGUGAGAGCGGAGGCUGGGCCUAGGGUGCUAACCUUGUGAGGGGGGUACUAACCCUCCCCCAAGGGAUACUAAUCCUGCCCAGGGAUAAUAACCCUCCCCUAAGAGUACUAACCUUCCACCAGGGGCUCUAAGCCUAGUUGGCAACAUCAGCUAGGACCUUCCAGAGGAAGGAGGCAGGCAAACAAAGACCCACAAUAGGAGGGCAGUGCUGUGGGUGUGAGGGAAACUUACGGGUAUACAAAGUGUGAUCAGAAUAUUCAGUGAAUGUUUGCAUGUUUAAAAAUUUAUUACAGUGAGACAUAUUGCCAUUAAUCUCCCUCAAAUACUCUCCCUGACAUUGAACACACUUGUGUCAUUAUUCUUGCCACUUUCUGAAGCAGUUCUGGAAGCUCUCUUUCCUGAGUAUUUUUACAAAGUGUGACCAAAAAUGGUAAGUGCUGCUCUAAAGUGCCAUCCAAUGGAAAGGCAAGCUUGUAAAAACAUUACAGUGUGGUGUGCCCUCAUCCACCGUAUUCACCAGAUCUGUUAAUAUGCCACUUCUGACUUUUCCCUAAAGUCAAAAUGACCAUGAAAGGGGACCCAGGCGUGGUGGCCCAUGCCUGUAAUCAUAGCACUGGGAAGGCUGAGGUAGAAGAAUUACUGCAAGUUCAAGGCCAGCCUGGGUUGCAUAGUGAGUUCAAGACCAGCCUGAACUGCAUAGCAAGACCCUGUCUCACACACACACACACACACACACACACACACACACACACACACACUCACAAUGACUGUGGAAAGUAAAUAUUUUGAAUUGAUUCAAGAAAUCAAGGCAGCCAUGGCCAUGCAACUAAAAACAUUCAUGGGAAGUACUUCCAGAAUUGCUUUGGAAAGUGGCAAGAACAAGAUAAGUGUGUUUGAAGGUAGAGGGAGUGUUUUGAGGAGGAAUAAUGGCAAUGUGACUUUUACUGUAAUAAUUUUUUAAAUUGAAACAUUCGACUUUUUAUUUAUUUAUUUAUUUAAUUUAUUUUCACAGUGUGGUCCUUUUUAUUUCCAGUCUUUCUAACUUCACUCCACAGAAGAAGCAGGCAUAGAGGCUGCUCCAAGAGACUGCCCAGGGGAGAACUAGGACAGUGAACUAGCCAAAAGGCCAGUCUUCAGAGCUGCCCACUGCCAUGGCAGAAAGCAGGGGUGUUGACUUAUUUUUGAUCAUUCCUUGCACAAGAAGGGUGCGAGCAAAGGAGCACAGGAGCCUUGAGUCAUUUCCCGGGGUCUCUGUAACAAAGUGCCACAGACCAGGGGGCUGAGAACAACAGAAAGUUAUAUUCUCACAACUCUGGAGGCUAGAAAUCCAAGGUCAAGGCAUCAGCAGGUUGGUUUCAGCUUUGGAGUGCUGUGCAGGAGAAUUUGCAAUACACCCCUCCUACUGUGGUGGUUGCUAGCUGUCUACAGCAUCCCUUGGCUUGGAGAUAGAUGUAUCACCCAAUCCUCCACCUAAACACGGCCUUCCCUCUGUUGUUCUGUCUCUUCAUAUGCUAUUCUUCUCCUGAGGACACCUGUCACAUUGGAUUAAGGGGGCUUUAUUCCAUCACGACUGCAUU
rnacentral:lncRNA from 1 species